ACAAUGGACCUUGACCAGCUGAAGAGGGAGAAAAUAAAAAUGCAACUGAAAGUCUUGAAGCUGCAAGAUGAAUACUACACUCUGAAAAUAAAGGAACUUAAAGGAUGAAACAAUUUCACUGGAGCAAGCUUGCAUGGGAGCGAAAGCAAAAAUGAGUCCCUCUCAGGAUUCUGGGCCAAUUUAAUACUCCGAGCCACUUGAUGACUAUGGACCCAGAUGUCAACUUGAACUCUUGAAUUCUCGAAACGUGACCUCAAUCACUGUGAAAGACUAGGAUUACCGCCUCGCAGAUGUACGCCUCUGCCAACCAGUCAAGUUGCAGUUUACAUCCAUGUCCAUCCAAAAUGUCAUCAUUUUAUCUUAUUAGAUAUUUCUGUGAAGUUGUCAUAAUUAGCAUUUAGGUUUAUCAGACUAUUAGCUGAUCAUUUUCCAUUUCUUCUUCUUGCACUGAUGUAAAGAAACGUUACGGAAAAGUAGCAAUUUUGAAAUCUUUUGGGAUAUUUUUGUAAUUCACUGGCUCUUGUACUGGGCUGAUUUUUACACCUAUUAGCAUAGACAAAUUAGUAAACAUGUUUUCAGCUUUAGGAGAGGAAAUGUAUCUCACACAUGGACCUAAAUACUAAAGAUAAAUGCAGGGAAUCCAUCACGUGUACUUUUUUUAAUGAUAAUGUAUGUCUGCCAAAACGUUAUUUCCGCUUGUAAUGUAAUGUCCUUGUUCUUUGUUUGGUUUAUGUUGAUAUUUGUAGAUUGAAACAGACAUUUUAUUUGUGCAGGAUGUACGUAAACAAGGUGAAUAGAAAACUGCUGUCAGUCAUCUGGUAACUACAGGGCACAGAUAUAGUUAGAAAGGCAUUAUAAACGUAUUUGCAAAAGUCU